CUACGGGUUGCUGCAGUCGAGAAUCUUCCGCAAUGGACGAAAGUCUGACGGAGCGACGCCGCGUGGGGGAUGAAGGCCUUCGGGUUGUAAACCGCUGUCAGUGGGGAGGAAAUGCAUCAGGGUUCUCCCUGGUGUUUGACCGAUCCGCAGAGGAAGCGCAGGCUAAGUUCGUGCCAGCAGCCGCGGUAACACGAACUGCGCGAACGUUAUUCGGAAUCACGGGGCUUAAAGAGUUCGUAGGCGGCCUUUCAAGUCGGGUGUGAAAUCCCUCGGCUCAACCGAGGAAUUGCGCCUGAUACUGUUGGGCUUGAGGGGGAUAGGGGUGAGCGGAACUGAUGGUGGAGCGGUGAAAUGCGUUGAUAUCAUCAGGAACACCGGUGGCGAAGGCGGCUCACUGGAUCUCUUCUGACGCUGAGGAACGAAAGCUAGGGGAGCGAACGGGAUUAGAUACCCUUGUAGUC
rnacentral:rRNA from 1 species